rnacentral:rRNA from 1 species
AUUGGAGGUGCAGCGAAGAGGUUCCAGGAAAUAGCUCCACCGUAUAGACCGUACCCGAAACCGACACAGGUGGACUGGUAGAGAAUACCAAGGCGCUUGAGAGAACAACGUUGAAGGAACUCGGCAAAAUACCUCCGUAAGUUCGCGAGAAGGAGGCCCGGU